UACGUAGGCAGCAAGCGUUGUUCGGAGUUACUGGGCGUAAAGGGUGUGUAGGCGGUCUUCUAAGUUUGGUGUGAAACCUCCAGGCUCAACCUGGAGACGCCACCCGAUACUGCUGUGACUAGAGUCCGGUAGGGGAGCGUGGAAUUCCUGGUGUAGCGGUGAAAUGCGCAGAUAUCAGGAGGAACACCAGCGGCGAAGGCGGCGCUCUGGGCCGGAACUGACGCUGAGGAGCGAAAGCGUGGGUAGCAAACAGG
rnacentral:rRNA from 1 species